GUUUCCGUAGGUGAACCUGCGGAUGGAUCAUUA
rnacentral:rRNA from 6 species